rnacentral:rRNA from 1 species
UCCGGGGGCGGCUGGUUAUAUGUGAAACCCACAGGCGAAGACAACUCGAGCGUUUCGCGGGAUUACGGGUUCGGCAUUGGCGCAAGCUUUCGUCGGGCCCCUCCAUCCCAGGGUGUCCCGUCACGGGUGCUUGCACCCAGCGGGCAUCCCCCGAGUGCGUAUGAUGUGACCCGAAAGAUGGUGAACUAUGCCUGAUCAGGUCGAAGUCAGGGGAAACCCUGAUGGAGGACCGAAGCAAUUCUGACGUGCAAAUCGAUUGUCAGAGUUGGGCAUAGGGGCGAAAGACCAAUCGAACCAUCUAGUAGCUGGUUCCUUC